GUGGGGAAUCUUGCGCAAUGGGCGAAAGCCUGACGCAGCCAUGCCGCGUGAAUGAUGAAGGUCUUAGGAUUGUAAAAUUCUUUCACCGGGGACGAUAAUGACGGUACCCGGAGAAGAAGCACCGGCUAAACUCGUGCCAGCAGCGGCGGUAAUACGAGUGGUGCAAGCGUUAUCCGGAAUCAUUGGGUUUAAAGGGUCCGCAGGCGGGCUAUCAAGUCAGAGGUGAAAUCCCACAGCUUAACUGUGGAACUGCCUUUGAAACUGAUGGUCUUGAAUUAAGUGGGCGUUGGCGGAAGAUGACAUGUAGCGGUGAAAUGCAUAGAUAUGUCAUGGAACACCGAAAGCGAAGGCAGCUAACGAUACUUAUAUUGACGCUCAUGGACGAAAGCGUGGGUAGCGAACAGGAUUAGAUACCCGGGUAGUCC
rnacentral:rRNA from 1 species